UUUAGUAAUAAUUUAUUUUAUCUAAUAACACAUUCAUAUAAGAAUUGCUUUAUACAACUUUUAGAUCUUUAGUAGUCAAAGAUUGAACAUAAUCUUCUGGAUAUGUCACUUAUUAUCCAUUCAUUACUUCUCUUUCUCGAGAUGAUGAAACUUCAAGUUCAUCCAUCUCGUAUUGAAUUCCACUCUAGAAUCAUAAUGUAUUUAUAUCUCAUCAUAUUAACUUUGAGAUUUGGAGAACUAUACAGCAUCGAUGAUUUUAAUUUUGUAUUCCCAUAGAAAACAAUGUAUAUGCUCUUCUAGAAUCUUUUAAUAAGAUUUUAUACUACUUGAUAUACUAGAUUAUUUCAUCGUUAGAAAUGUUUUUUUUUUUUUUAAAAUUAUUUUCUCAACUUCUGGUGAUAAUUUAAGUUCUUGAAAAAACUUUGACCAUCAAAAAUAUGAUAU
rnacentral:sRNA from 1 species